AGAGUUUGAUCCUGGCUCAGGAGAACGCUAGCGGCAGGCUUAAUACAUGCAAGUCGAGGGGCAGCAGGGGUAGCAAUACCCGCUGGCGACCGGCAAACGGGUGCGGAACACGUACACAACCUUCCUUUAAGUGGGGAAUAGCCCAGAGAAAUUUGGAUUAAUACCCCGUAAUAUUAUUGAAUGGCAUCAUUUAGUAAUUAAAGCUCCGGCGCUUGAAGAUGGGUGUGCGUCUGAUUAGGUAGUUGGUAGGGGUAACGGCCCACCAAGCCAACGAUCAGUAACUGGUGUGAGAGCACGACCAGUCACACGGGCACUGAGACACGGGCCCGACUCCUACGGGAGGCAGCAGUAAGGAAUAUUGGUCAAUGGACGCAAGUCUGAACCAGCCAUGCCGCGUGGAGGAUGAAGGUCCUCUGGAUUGUAAACUCCUUUUAUCUGGGAAGAAACCCACUUUUUCUAGAGUGGUUGACGGUACCAGAUGAAUAAGCACCGGCUAACUCCGUGCCAGCAGCCGCGGUAAUACGGAGGGUGCAAGCGUUAUCCGGAUUCACUGGGUUUAAAGGGUGCGUAGGUGGGCAGUUAAGUCAGUGGUGAAAUCUCCGGGCUUAACCCGGAAACUGCCAUUGAUACUAUCUGUCUUGAAUGCCGUGGAGGUAAGCGGAAUAUGUCUGUAGCGGUGAAAUGCUUAGAUAUGACAUAGAACACCAAUUGCGAAGGCAGCUUACUACACGAAUAUUGACACUGAGGCACGAAAGCGUGGGGAUCAAACAGGAUUAGAUACCCUAGUAGUCC
rnacentral:rRNA from 1 species